rnacentral:rRNA from 1 species
GUUAUCACCUCUGGGUCUUGACCUACCCCACAGAAAAAGCACCGGCUAACUCUGUGCCACCGACCGCGGUAAUACAGAUGGUGCAAGCGUUGAUCCGAAUUACUGGGCGUAAAGCGCGCGUACACGGUUACAUAACUCGGGUGUGAAAGCCCCGGGCUCAACCUGAGAAUUGCAUUCAAGACUGUGUAUCUAGGGUGCGGAAUAGGGAAGCGGAAUUU